rnacentral:rRNA from 1 species
GACAGAGGGUGCAAACGUUGCUCGGAAUCACUGGGCGUAAAGGGCGUGUAGGCGGGUAGAUAAGUCGGGCGUGAAAUCCCUAGGCUCAACCUAGGAACUGCACUCGAAACUGUUUAUCUUGAGUGCCGGAGAGGAAAGCGGAAUUCCUGGUGUAGAGGUGAAAUUCGUAGAUAUCAGGAGGAACACCGGUGGCGAAGGCGGGUCUCUGGGCAACAACUGACGCUGAGGAGCGAAAGCGUGGGGAGCGAACAGG